UAUUAUUAUUAACAGGCCUCCUGGUGAAUGAAUGGUCCGUGGAGGGGGGGGGGAAACCUCUUUCCGGAGUUGCCCUGGAGACAAUUCCACACAACGGUGACAAUUCCGCCAUAUAGCCAGCACUGUGGAGGAUGAUUCCACACAACGGUGACAAUUCCGCCAUAAUGCCAGCACUGUGGAGGAUGGGAUACCAUUUCCUCUGGAAGCGAAGAACCUGCUUUCUUGAUAGGGACCCUCUCCCUUCCACACAUGGUUUAAUGCUCUGUUUUGUUCUUUGUAGGCAGGGGAGAGGUUCAUUUCUGUUUGUUCUUUAGUUCAAGAAACCUGAAAUGACACUGGGCGGGGAAGUCAAGAGUCCGUAGUAAUGCAGAGAGUGCAACUACAGCAUGGGUAGCUACCACAAAAGGACUGAAAGAGAUCCUCACGUCAAGACUGGAAGAACUGGGGCAGAUGUGGAAGGUCCGCCCAACUCUCAUCCCAUUGCAGUGUACGGUGACUAUCUCACCCAUGAUGCCAAAGGGAGGAAAAGUCAUCAUGAACACACUGGGUUUCAGGAAGGAUACUUCCUACUCAGGAUACAAGGUUUUUGUUUCUCUUCAGGAAUGUUGAAGGGCGAGGAACAUGAAAUUAAAUGAUUAGCAAAGGGUGUGGAAGGGAUUGCAUGCUACUGAAAGGCAAACCAUGUCAUAAUCUUAAAAACAGGCCAUUCCUUGUUGAGUGCUACUGGUAUCAUACACAGCAUAGUAGAUCUCACUUCCUGUUUGAGGGCUUAGUCAAGAAGGAAAGAGCAACAGAACACACAACUGGCAAACCUAAAUCUCCUGUCAAAAACCAGGCACUUAGGUGAGCUCAAGCAUUUCCUAGUGGAGUUGUUAUCUAGUACUUCACCACCCCUGGAUGAAAGAGCAAUGGGCAUUCUCACACAGGACUUUGCUCAUUUGGAUUUCAAACAGAUGUUGCCUGGCGAUUAGAAGAGUCACUUCUGUGGACCGUGCCUCCUAGAAUAUCCCAGCCAGCAUGAUCAGUAU
rnacentral:lncRNA from 1 species